GGGUGAGUAACAUGUGGGUAUCUACCCUUUGGCCUGGAAUAACCCGAGGAAACUUGUGCUAAUACCGGAUAAGUCUUUACGGAGAAAGCUUUAUGCACCAUUGGAUGAGCCCGCACUUGAUUAGUUUGUUGGUAGGGUAAUGGCCUACCAAGACUAUGAUCAAUAGCUGAUUUGAGAGGAUGAUCAGCCACAUUGGGACUGAGACACGGCCCAAACUCCUACGGGAGGCAGCAGUGGGGAAUCUUGCACAAUGGAGGAAACUCUGAUGCAGCGAUGCCGCGUGAGUGAAGAAGGCCUUUGGGUUGUAAAGCUCUUUCGUCGGGGAAGAAAAUGACUGUACCCGAAUAAGAAGGUCCGGCUAACUUCGUGCCAGCAGCCGCGGUAAUACGAAGGGACCUAGCGUAGUUCGGAAUUACUGGGCUUAAAGAGUUCGUAGGUGGUUGAAAAAGUUGGUGGUGAAAUCCCAGAGCUUAACUCUGGAACUGCCAUCAAAACUUUUCAGCUAGAGUAUGAUAGAGGAAAGCAGAAUUUCUAGUGUAGAGGUGAAAUUCGUAGAUAUUAGAAAGAAUACCAAUUGCGAAGGCAGCUUUCUGGAUCAUUACUGACACUGAGGAACGAAAGCAUGGGUAGCGAAGAGGAUUAGAUACCCUCGUAGUCCAUGCCGUAAACGAUGUGUGUUAGACGUUGGAAAUUUAA
rnacentral:rRNA from 1 species